rnacentral:rRNA from 1 species
GACAGAGGGUGCAAACGUUGUUCGGAAUUACUGGGCGUAAAGCGCGUGUAGGCGGCUACGUAAGUCGGGCGUGAAAUCCCACGGCUCAACUGUGGAAGAGCACUCGAAACUGUGUAGCUAGAGUCCUGGAGAGGAAAGUGGAAUACUUGGUGUAGAGGUGAAAUUCGUAGAUAUCAAGUGGAACACCAGUGGCGAAGGCGGCUUUCUGGACAGUGACUGACGCUGAGACGCGAAAGCGUGGGGAGCAAACAGG